UUACAACUUACCAAUUACAAAGCAGAUUCUGAGGUUUGUUUUUCAUUUUAUCCAUUUUUUCUUUACAUAAUAUUGACUUACUUUACGCCUUACUAAUUAUAAAGGUUUGUUUCUUGUAUAUUUUCCCAGUGUGUUGAUCUUGGACUUGAAUCAGCCUCGUCGUUCCUUUGAUUGUUUUUUUCUAAGAUUUGUGAGGCAGAAAAUUGAUAUCCAUGUCUCAAUUCUCUUUGGUUUUAACCCGUCCACUGCGAUUGGCACGGAUUUUGCCUUCACUGGUAGCCUGUCAACAUACACUCCCAGGUCUUUCUCUGCCUCUGUGGUGGAUAGUGGAGUGUUUCCCAUGUGGUAUUGGUGUGCUGGAUAUCCCUUCACUGGUAGCCUGGUAACAUACACUCCCAGGUCUUUCUCUGCCUCUGUGGUGGAUAGUGGAGUGUUUCCCAUGUGGUAUUGGUGUGCUGGAUAUCCCUUCACUGGUAGCCUGGUAACAUACACUCCCAGGUCUUUCUCUGCCUCUGUGGUGGAUAGUGGAGUGUUUCCCAUGUGGUAUUGGUGUGCUGGAUAUCCCUUCACUGGUAGCCUGGUAACAUACACUCCCAGGGCUUUCUCUGCCUCUGUGGUGGAUGGUGGAGUGUUUCCCAUGUGGUAUUGGUGUGCUGGAUAUCCCUUCACUGGUAGCCUGGUAA